AAAAUCGUACUGAAUUUCAAGUUUUUAUUUUUUUAGGGUUCAAAAUCAAAACAAAUGUUGCCCUAAACUCAAACUCGUAUCUCUAUCAGUCAUGGCCUCACACCGCUUCUCUCUCAUCUGUCUCCUUUCCCAAUCUCUCAUCUAGAUCUCUCGCCGGCGACUAUCGAUCUCUCACCGACCGUCCACUCUCAUCUCUCACCGGCUGCUCUCAAGCUCUCGUUUCACGGCAGCGUCUUAUCGAUCUCUCACCGACCAUAAGCUCUACUUCCGUUGUAAUUCACCGGGUAAUACAAUUUAUCUUAGUUCUUUACUUUGUAUUUUUUUAUGUGAAUCUGCAAGCUUGUUGGGGUAAUAUCAUACUAAUUACUAAAUGCCUGAUUUUUUUGAUUUUGGGUAAUCUGCAAGCCCAGGUUUUGGGUUUCCUCUUUCUAAUUAUUUUUGCCUUGUUGUUUAGCUGUUCGAGUGUUCAACAUUAUAGUCACCGGAGUAAUUAACAUUAUGCAGUGGCAAAUUUAUAUUUUAUGGACUAUUUGAUAGCUAAAGAUUGAGUUUGUAAUGUGCUUUGUCAAAUUGAGGGGACAACUAUUGAGAUAUGGUAUUAAUGAUGUUUGUUUUAUAUUUGUAUUUUAUCAAAUUGCUUUGAAACAUUCAACAAAAGAAAAUAAAAUAACAUUUCUUGGAAAUGUUGUUGACUGACAUGUAAUUGUAUUACUAUAGGGUCAUAAACAGAGGUCAAACAAUGUGCAAAAGUUGUUCACAUUAGUAAAUCUUUGUAUGUAGAUUAUUGAUGUCAGUAUGUCACUAAAUUUGGCUGUAAAUUCUACACGAAUUUGUACUUACAAGUUCUGGGUUGCUAUGUUUUACUAUGAAAUGGGUUGCUGUGUUUUACUACGAAUUUGUAAAUUCUACACGAAUCCUUGUUUUACUAAGUUACCUUGUUGCUGUGUUGUCUCAAUUUCUUGUGCACAAUGUUUGAAAAAUGUAUAGUGCAUUGACGUUACAAUAUUUUUUUAAUCUACUCCAUAGUUAAUAGUUAAAGUAGAGUUUUUACAGCUCUUGAAUUAUAGAUUUGAGCAAUUUAUUAAAUUGGAGAUAAAGGUGUCUUAUUUAUUUGUAUUUUACUUCCAAUUCUGUGAUAUUAUGUGAAUCUGCAAGCUUGUUGGGGUAAUUUAUUAAAAAAAAAAAGUUUAUUAUGUGAAUUAAAGAGUAUGGUAAGUGGUAACAGGGAUAGAAAUUUGACAAAAAAAAAUUUGUAUUGCUUUUCUCCUCUGCUUACUUAAUUAAAGAGUAAUUACAAGAUUGUUUUUAUUAUUUUGUGAUGGAAAAAUAGUUCAUUAAGCGGCUCAAACCCUUCUAAUUGAGAUAUUGUUGCAUAUUAAUGGAUGAAACGACCGGUGAAAGUGUUACACCCACUGGUCCCUCGAGCGAGGACCCUGUUGUUUCAAGUGCUCCUGGUGAAGGAGGUCAAAAUCCACAAGAGCAAGGGGCUGCUACGGUACCAAAAACUCUAGCCAAAAGGCCCGCAACUGAAACUGCCACUGAUGCUCAAAAUAAAGGUGAUCUUGAUGAAAAAUGAUGGAAAACAAGUGAAUUCGAGCCAAAACAGGGCUUGUGCGGUCGAGUGGUGUUUUGUGUGCCCGAACAGGUAGUGCAAAUGGAGUUCAAGGAGAUUCCAGUUUUGUGCGGUCGAAUGCCCUCUGUCAUUCGGUCGCACAAAACGGAUUUCUGAGACAGAAUGUCCCAAGAUUGUAAAACGACCGCACAACCCUGGUAAUUUGACAGCACAGGUUUUGUUCGACCGCACAACCUAUGUUGUUCGACCGCACAAAAGUUGUGCGCCCAAACGGCUUUCCUUGUUCGACCAAAUGGAGCUGCGAAGGAGACUUGAGCCAAAGGAUUCCCAUUCGACCGAACGGGGUUUUAUGUUUGGUCGCACAAGACGAAGAAAAUGUUCUUCGCUGCCUUCGCUCGCACAGGACCCAGCAUGCGCUCGAAUGACUCUUUUACGUUCGGUCGCACAAAAGGUUUGUGCGACCGAAUGGUUGCGCGGGCUGCUCUUGUUCGAAUUUUGGCUUCUAUUUGGGGAAACUUAUAAAUAGAUUUUUCGAUUAUUUUGUUAAGAGUAGAAUUUUAGUUGAUAAUUUUAGAUUCUAAAAGUUAGUUUUUCAGCAAUUCUAGAGAGAGAAACUCUCCUCCAUUCAAGCUUCAAUUUGUAAUCCUUCUUAACUCUUUUUCAAUUUUGCAAUUCAAUUCUUAGUUUCUUAA